GUGUAGGUGAGAACCUGCGCUCAGGUUCGAGCCGAGCGAAGCGAGACAGCAACGCACUAGCGUUGACCCCGAAGGGGCGAGGCCGAAGGCCGAGUUAUCCUGCACGACCCACUA
rnacentral:sRNA from 1 species